rnacentral:Y_RNA from 1 species
UCGGCGAAUGCCGAUGGAACUACAUGGGGAGCCGCGUCCUCGGAUUUACGGGUUCGAAUCCCGUCGGCGUCACGCAUUGCGUGGGCCGUGGCGGAAUUGGUAAACGCACGGCUUUUGUUUCAUCACGUUUUGUCGCCGUUCU